UGACUCGCGCACGUAUUAAAUAUCUUAAUUCCACCACUUUUUUCUUUUACUCAUACUUGCAAAUUCCAAUUCCAAUUCCAAUUCUCCCAUUUUUCAAUCACUAAAAACACUAAAAAUACUUGUACAGUUGUACCAGUAAACGCACUUCAUUACUCCAUUAUUUUCUCAGCUUCAACUCUCUCUUUGUCUCUCCUUAAACUCAUCAUCUAUUCGGCAAACAUGGCAGAUUAGAAGUAAUUCACCCAAAUUACUCAGGUAUUGCAAAUUUGCAAGCCAAUUUGUCAUCCACACCCAGCUAGCAGCAUUGCCCAUUUGCCAACCUGACCAUGAACAAUUUGAAACUGGGAGUACAUGUGGUAAGUGCACACGAUCUUAUGCCAAAAGAUGGCCAAGGAUCAUCAAGUGCAUUUGCUGAGCUUCAUUUUGACGGACAGAAAUUCCGAACCACUAUCAAGGAAAAGGAUCUCAGCCCAGUUUGGGACGAGACCUUCUAUUUCAAUAUAACUGAUCCAUCUGUCCUCCCUCAUCUCGCUCUUGAUGUUUAUGUAUACAAUCAUAACAGAGCCACAAACUCGAGGUCAUUUCUUGGUAAGGUCUCCCUUAGUGGGACUUCAUUUGUUCCCCACUCUGAUGCAGUUGUCUUGCAUUACCCUCUGGAAAAGCGUGGCAUCUUCUCUCGCAUCAAAGGAGAGCUUGGUCUCAAAGUUUUUAUCACAAAUGAUCCAACCAUUAAGUCGUCCACUCCUGCUGCUGAAACUAAUGUAAGUGUAAACCAUGCUCAGGCUCCAAAAUCUGAAGUCAGACACACCUUCCGUCAUUUACCUAACACCAGCCAUUCUCAUUCUCAUGAUCAUUCCCAUUCUCAUUCUCAUCCGCAUCCUCAUCAAGACCAUCAACAUAAUCAUGGUGGUCCUGUGGACGCUUCUCGUGAGGCAACUUAUCAAGAAGUUGAAGAAAUGAAAAUGAAAGCUCAAGCACCACCACCCAAGAUUGUCAGGAUGCACUCUGCUUCUGCCGCACAACCAGUUGACUUUGCUCUCAAAGAGACAAGCCCAUACCUUGGAGGGGGACGAGUAAUUGGGGGACGUAUUGUUCAUGCAGAUAAAACUUCAAGCACAUAUGAUCUUGUGGAACGGAUGCAGUUCCUUUAUGUCAGAGUUGUUAAAGCCCAUGAUCUUCCUAAUAUGGAUCUUACUGGUAGUAUUGACCCUUUUGUGGAGGUGAGAAUAGGAAACUAUAAAGGUGUGACCAAGCACCUAGAUAAGAAUGACCAUCCGGAAUGGAAUGUGGUGUUUGCCUUUUCGAAGGAUCGUUUGCAGGCCUCAGUUCUUGAAGUAAAAGUCAAGGACAAGGAUUUAAUUAAAGAUGAUUUUGUUGGCAUUUUAAGAUUUGAUUUGCAUGAGGUGCCAAGCAGGGUUCCCCCAGAUAGUCCAUUAGCUCCUCAAUGGUACCGUCUUGAGGAUAAGAAGGGUGAAAAGGCAAAAGGUGAAUUAAUGCUGGCUGUCUGGCUUGGUACUCAAGCUGAUGAAGCAUAUUCAGAAGCAUGGCAUUCUGAUACAGCUGGUAUUGAUAUUCAGUCUUCUGCUGCUUCAGCACUUCUGCGUUCAAAGGUUUAUCAUGCCCCAAGGCUGUGGUAUGUACGUGUUAAUGUUAUUGAAGCACAGGAUUUGAUACCUACUGAAAAAAACCGAUUUCCUGAAGUUUUCUGCAAGGCACAGAUUGGUCACCAGAUUAUGAAGACUAAACCUGUUCAGACUCGUACACUGAACUCCCUUUGGAAUGAGGAUCUACUGUUUGUCGCAGCAGAGCCCUUUGAUGACCAUCUGGUUAUCACUGUUGAGGAUCGUGUGGCUCCUGGUAAAGAUGAGAUCAUUGGGAGAGUCAUCAUCCCCUUGACUCAAGUUGAUAGGCGUGCAGAUGACCGGCUCAUUCCUUCUCGGUGGUUUCAUCUUGAGAAGCCGGUUGCUGUGGAUAUUGAUCAACUGAAGAAAGAGAAGUUUGCCAGCCGGCUUCAUCUUCGUGUAUGUUUAGAUGGAGGUUAUCAUGUUCUUGAUGAGUCCACUCAUUACAGCAGUGAUCUUCGCCCCACGGCAAAACAGCUCUGGAAGCCUACAAUAGGUGUCUUAGAACUGGGCAUUUUAAGUGCCGAAGGACUCCACCCAAUGAAAACAAGGGAUGGGAGAGGUACAUCAGAUACGUAUUGUGUUGCAAAGUAUGGUCAUAAGUGGAUCAGAACAAGGACACUUGUUGACAGCCUCUCUCCAAAAUACAAUGAGCAGUAUACUUGGGAAGUUUUUGACCCAGCAACAGUUAUAACAGUGGGUGUGUUUGACAACUGUCAAAUUGGAGGGAAGGAAUCAAGUGGAGGGCACAAGGACGUCAAGAUAGGGAAGGUACGGAUACGUAUCUCUACCCUUGAAACUGGUCGUAUCUAUACACAUUCAUAUCCUUUGCUUGUUCUUCAACCAAACGGAGUUAAAAAGAUGGGGGAGCUGCAUUUGGCUCUUAGGUAUUCCUGCACUUCAUUUGCGAACAUGAUGUAUCAAUAUUCACGUCCACUCUUACCAAAAAUGCACUAUGUUAGACCCUUCACAGUAAUGCAGCAGGACAUGCUACGUUUUCAAGCCAUGAAUAUAGUUGCUAUGAGGCUUGGCCGAGCAGAACCUCCACUCCGAAAGGAGGUGGUGGAGUACAUGUCUGAUGUGGAUGCCCAUCUCUGGAGCAUGCGGAGAAGCAAGGCAAAUUUCUUCCGCCUCAUGUCAGUCUUCUCAGGAUUAUUUGCUGUUGGAAAAUGGUUUGGUGAUGUAUGCAUGUGGAGAAAUCCUAUAACGACAGUCCUCGUCCACAUUCUCUUUCUUAUGCUUGUUUGCUUUCCCGAACUGAUCUUGCCUACCGUCUUCCUCUACAUGUUUUUGAUUGGGAUUUGGAACUAUAGGUACCGCCCUAGGUACCCUCCACAUAUGAAUAUUAAGAUCUCCCAGGCCGAUACUUCCCUUCCUGAUGAACUUGAUGAGGAGUUUGACACUUUCCCAACUAGUAAGAGUCCGGAGCUUGUGAGAAUGAGGUAUGAUCGGCUGAGGAGUGUGGCUGGAAGGAUUCAAACCGUGGUUGGUGAUGUUGCAACUCAAGGUGAGCGGUUCCAGGCUCUCUUAAGCUGGCGGGAUCCACGUGCUACAGCCAUCUUUGUGACGUUCUGUCUUGUAGCUGCUAUUGUGCUGUAUGUUACUCCAUUCCAAGUGAUUGCUGCUUUAGCUGGGUUCUAUGCCCUGAGACAUCCUAGGUUUCGCUAUCGCUUGCCAUCAGUGCCCAUCAACUUCUUCCGUCGUCUGCCUGCUAGGACUGACAGUAUGCUGUAGAUUUGAGGUCAGAUUAUUUAAGGCAUGUCUUAGAUCUUGCUUUAACUUUUGAUUUUUAAGUUAUUGUGUAGUUUUUUUUAGUGAUUUGCCUUUACAGCAAGCAUUUUGUACAAUAAUAAACUGUACUUCUGUUUCUCAAUCAAGAAAAUAAAGAAAAAAAAAAAACCACCAUAUGAGUAAAUUAACUAUGAAGUGCUUGUGGAUUUCCUUUCUGAAGUGUUGUCUACCCUAACAGAAUAGAUUGGAAGUUUGUGAUAGUUUUUUGUUUUGUUUUGUUUUGUGAUAGGUUUUUUAGUCCCUGCCCAUAAGGUGCAAGGUCGUAUACGGACGUAACCAAGUACGCGUUGUGCUUUAAGACUGCGUACACGCACAUAGAUGACCAGAUGAGAGGCCUUUAAUCAAGGGUUACAGAGUACCCAAAAAAUUACUCUCAGACAAUUUUGAUAACCACCAAACCAGAUGGUAUACCGUAACUAAUCUUGAUUAUUAGGAAACAAUCCUAACUUUAUAGUACUGAAUAUCUUAAAGAUAAACUGAGUAUACACUAAAUCAAAACCUUAUAACAGUAGCUUUCAAAAAAACCCUUAUAACUGUAUGUAAAAUGUACCACAAUAUUUAUAAUUCCCAAAUCUCAAAUAUUUCAAAAUCUCACUAAAUCAAAACCUUAAAUAUACCACAAAUUUACAAUAUGUAAUUUCCCAAAUCUCAAAUAUUUCAAAAUCUCACUAAAUCAAAACCUUAAAUAUACCACCAAUCCACAAUUUAUAAUUUCCCAAAUCUCAAAUAUUUCAAAAUCGCACUAAAUCAAAACCUUAUAACAGUACGUAAAAUAUACCACAAUAUUUAUAAUUUCCCAAAUCUCAGUUAAAUCAAAACCUUAUAACAGUAUGUAAAAUAUACCACAAUAUUUAUAAUUUUCCCUAAUCUCAAAUAUUUCAAAAUCUCCUAACAGUAAUGAAUAUUAUAAUUGCAAUCAAUAUAUUAUUUGACUAAUUAAAGGUCCUAAUUUAAAUUUGAAAAGCAAAAGUGAUUAAAGUGAACAAUCAACAUCCCACCACCCCAUAAAGAAUAUUCUUACUUGAACAUCUAAAUCUAGUCAAUUAAACGCGUUUAAAAUACUUAACAACCAAUGGUAAAACGAAAGAAAGGAGUAUCAAACUUGUAUUCAUACAAAUUUAUGACCCACUUUACAUUAAUUUAGUAUUAAUGAAAAAGAAAUGAAGUAUUAAAAUAGGCAAGUGUAAUUAGCAAGGAAAGUUAGAAAGUAUUAAACUAAUGAUAUUAGGGGAGAAAUCAAAUCAAGUAUAAUCAUUUUACUUGUAUUUUAAGAGCCACCAUCAAAUAAACAAUACAAAUCAAGAUAAACAAAGUGCUAAGAAUAUAUACAGCAAGCAGAGAAAAUUAAUCCAACCACCGGAGUCGGCGUCGAACGUGGUAACCUUUGAGACUAUGCACGUGUAUAAGCUGUUUCCGACCCUUUUGCCUAAUAGAGGGGUUGUAACAGAUUGGAGGGACCAGAUCCUGUGUUCUCUGAUCUUAUAAUAUACGAUGUAAUGUUAUACUUUCAAUUAUAAACAUGGGAAUAUCAAGUUAAUGAUUA